CUCCCCCCUCCCGGGAUGGUUACAUACAAAGGCUGCUUUCCAGGAACUUUCCAGGAACCGCAUCAUGUGACAGGACCCGCUCCGGCGCCUCCGCCGCGAUCGCGGCCAGCCAGGGCCGACGCACCGAGCCGCCGCCCCUGUCACGCCGGGGCAGCGGUCGCCGAAUGCUGCCCCGCGGCCCCCCCGCAUCCUCCUCCGCCCGCGGGGCCGCGGGCGACGCGCAGAGACCGUGGAGAUAACAAAGGAUCAUUUCCUUUGGUUCAGUGGAUAGAUAGAAGCAGGCGUGGCAGGAGGGAGCAUGAGCUUUCCAGUGGAACACAUGACAGCAGGGAUCUGCUCCAGGCAUUUUCAAGAUCAGUUCCUUGGGCUGCUCUAAGGCAACAAAAGUAUGCCAGGAGUCUCAACAGGGGCAUCUGUGAACUGGACUGGAGAAUCUUCACGACUCAGGUUGUUUAGAGAACAGUAAUUAUGCGUGUGAGUUGCUGGUUUUGUGUGUUUGUAUAAGCCUGUGCUAGACUCAUUCACACUUGGUACUCUGAACAAAGGCAGUCUAAGCUCAGACAUCUGAAUCUCAUCUUCAUCCUCCCUUCACAGAGAAGGAAAAUGCACCUCCAGAGAACAACUGUGUGACACAGUUUAUACAAUAAAAUUUUUAAAUAAGA